rnacentral:rRNA from 1 species
GAUGAACGCUGGCGGCGUGCCUAAUACAUGCAAGUCGAGCGAACAGACGAGGAGCUUGCUCCUCUUACGUUAGCGGCGGACGGGUGAGUAACACGUGGAUAACCUACCUAUAAGACUGGGAUAACUUCGGGAAACCGGAGCUAAUACCGGAUAAUAUAUUGAACCGCAUGGUUCAAUAGUGAAAGACGGUUUUGCUGUACCUAAUAGUUGGCUCCGCGCCGCAUAAGUUAGUGGUUAAGGAAACGGCUUACAAAGGCAACGUUGCGUACCCGACCUGGGAGGGUGUUCGGCCACACUGGAACUGGGACACGGUCCAGACUCCUACGGGAGGCAGAAGUAGGGAAUCUUCGGCAAUGGGCGAAGUCCUGACGGAGCAACGCCGCGUGGGUGAGGAAGGUCUUCGGAUCGUAAAACUCUGUUAUUAGGGAAGAACAAAUGUGUAAGUAACUAUGCACGUCUUGACGGUACCUAAUCAGAAAGCCACGGCUAACUACGUG